rnacentral:rRNA from 1 species
GGUGGGUAACACUAACUGGAGGACCGAACCGACUAAUGUUGAAAAAUUAGCGGAUGACCUGUGGCUGGGGGUGAAAGGCCAAUCAAACCGGGAGAUAGCUGGUUCUCCCCGAAAGCUAUUUAGGUAGCGCCUCGUGAAUUCAUCUCCGGGGGUAGAGCACUGUUUCGGCUAGGGGGCCAUCCCGGCUUACCAACCCGAUGCAAACUGCGAAUACCGGAGAAUGUUAUCACGGGAGACACACGGCGGGUGCUAACGUCCGUCGUGAAGAGGGAAACAACCCAGACCGCCAGCUAAGGUCCCAAAGUCAUGGUUAAGUGGGAAACGAUGUGGGAAGGCCCAGACAGCCAGGAUGUUGGCUUAGAAGCAGCCAUCAUUUAAAGAAAGCGUAAUAGCUCACUGGUCGAGUCGGCCUGCGCGGAAGAUGUAACGGGGCUAAACCAUGCACCGAAGCUGCGGCAGCGACACUGUGUGUUGUUGGGUAGGGGAGCGUUCUGUAAGCCUGUGAAGGUGUGUCGUGAGGCAUGCUGGAGGUAUCAGAAGUGCGAAUGCUGACAUAAGUAACGAUAAAGCGGGUGAAAAGCCCGCUCGCCGGAAGACCAAGGGUUCCUGUCCAACGUUAAUCGGGGCAGGGUGAGUCGACCCCUAAGGCGAGGCCGAAAGGCGUAGUCGAUGGGAAACGGGUUAAUAUUCCCGUACUUGGUGUUACUGCGAAGGGGGGACGGAGAAGGCUAUGUUGGCCGGGCGACGGUUGUCCCGGUUUAAGCGUGUAGGUGUGUGUUCCAGGUAAAUCCGGUUCACUUUAACACUGAGGCGUGACGACGAGGCACUACGGUGCUGAAGCAACAAAUGCCCUGCUUCCAGGAAAAGCCUCUAAGCAUCAGGUAACAUCAAAUCGUACCCCAAACCGACACAGGUGGUCAGGUAGAGAAUACCAAGGCGCUUGAGAGAACUCGGGUGAAGGAACUAGGCAAAAUGGUGCCGUAACUUCGGGAGAAGGCACGCUGACACGUAGGUGAAGUGAUUUACUCAUGGAGCUGAAGUCAGUCGAAGAUACCAGCUGGCUGCAACUGUUUAUUAAAAACACAGCACUGUGCAAACACGAAAGUGGACGUAUACGGUGUGACGCCUGCCCGGUGCCGGAAGGUUAAUUGAUGGGGUCAGCGCAAGCGAAGCUCCUGAUCGAAGCCCCGGUAAACGGCGGCCGUAACUAUAACGGUCCUAAGGUAGCGAAAUUCCUUGUCGGGUAAGUUCCGACCUGCACGAAUGGCGUAAUGAUGGCCAGGCUGUCUCCACCCGAGACUCAGUGAAAUUGAACUCGCUGUGAAGAUGCAGUGUACCCGCGGCAAGACGGAAAGACCCCGUGAACCUUUACUAUAGCUUGACACUGAACAUUGAGCCUUGAUGUGUAGGAUAGGUGGGAGGCUUUGAAGUGUGGACGCCAGUCUGCAUGGAGCCGACCUUGAAAUACCACCCUUUAAUGUUUGAUGUUCUAACGUGGACCCGUUACCCGGGUUGCGGACAGUGUCUGGUGGGUAGUUUGACUGGGGCGGUCUCCUCCUAAAGAGUAACGGAGGAGCACGAAGGUUGGCUAAUCCUGGUCGGACAUCAGGAGGUUAGUGCAAUGGCAUAAGCCAGCUUGACUGCGAGCGUGACGGCGCGAGCAGGUGCGAAAGCAGGUCAUAGUGAUCCGGUGGUUCUGAAUGGAAGGGCCAUCGCUCAACGGAUAAAAGGUACUCCGGGGAUAACAGGCUGAUACCGCCCAAGAGUUCAUAUCGACGGCGGUGUUUGGCACCUCGAUGUCGGCUCAUCACAUCCUGGGGCUGAAGUAGGUCCCAAGGGUAUGGCUGUUCGCCAUUUAAAGUGGUACGCGAGCUGGGUUUAGAACGUCGUGAGACAGUUCGGUCCCUAUCUGCCGUGGGCGCUGGAGAACUGAGGGGGGCUGCUCCUAGUACGAGAGGACCGGAGUGGACGCAUCACUGGUGUUCGGGUUGUCAUGCCAAUGGCACUGCCCGGUAGCUAAAUGCGGAAGAGAUAAGUGCUGAAAGCAUCUAAGCACGAAACUUGCCCCGA